rnacentral:rRNA from 1 species
UGGGGAAUAUUGCACAAUGGGCGCAAGCCUGAUGCAGCCAUGCCGCGUGUAUGAAGAAGGCCUUCGGGUUGUAAAGUACUUUCAGCGGGGAGGAAGGCGAUAAGGUUAAUAACCUUGUCGAUUGACGUUACCCGCAGAAGAAGCACCGGCUAACUCCGUGCCAGCAGCCGCGGUAAUACGGAGGGCGCAAGCGUUAAUAGGAAUUACUGGGCGUAAAGCGCACGCAGGCGGUCUGUCAAGUCGGAUGUGAAAUCCCCGGGCUCAACCUGGGAACUGCAUUCGAAACUGGCAGGCUAGAGUCUUGUAGAGGGGGGUAGAAUUCCAGGUGUAGCGGUGAAAUGCGUAGAGAUCUGGAGGAAUACCGGUGGCGAAGGCGGCCCCCUGGACAAAGACUGACGCUCAGGUGCGAAAGCGUGGGGAGCAAACA